rnacentral:rRNA from 1 species
UCACUUAUAGAUGGAUCCGCGCUGCAUUAGCUAGUUGGUAAGGUAACGGCUUACCAAGGCAACGAUGCAUAGCCGACCUGAGAGGGUGAUCGGCCACACUGGAACUGAGACACGGUCCAGACUCCUACGGGAGGCAGCAGUAGGGAAUCUUCCGCAAUGGGCGAAAGCCUGACGGAGCAACGCCGCGUGAGUGAUGAAGGUCUUCGGAUCGUAAAACUCUGUUAUUAGGGAAGAACAUAUGUGUAAGUAACUGUGCACAUCUUGACGGUACCUAAUCAGAAAGCCACGGCUAACUACGUGCCAGCAGCCGCGGUAAUACGUAGGUGGCAAGCGUUAUCCGGAAUUAUUGGGCGUAAAGCGCGCGUAGGCGGUUUUUUAAGUCUGAUGUGAAAGCCCACGGCUCAACCGUGGAGGGUCAUUGGAAACUGGAAAACUUGAGUGCAGAAGAGGAAAGUGGAAUUCCAUGUGUAGCGGUGAAAUGCGCAGAGAUAUGGAGGAACACCAGUGGCGAAGGCGACUUUCUGGUCUGUAACUGACGCUGAUGUGCGAAAGCGUGGGGAUCAAACAGGAUUAGAUACCCUGGUAGUCCACGCCGUAAACGAUGAGUGCUAAGUGUUAGGGGGUUUCCGCCCCUUAGUGCUGCAGCUAACGCAUUAAGCACUCCGCCUGGGGAGUACGACCGCAAG